rnacentral:lncRNA from 1 species
AUACUAGGGCCAUGUUUGGAUAUCAAAAUAAAUAAUUCGAUGAUAAUUUAUCUAAUAUGAAGAUUUUCUUCUGCGACUAAUAUUUAGGAAUGUUUUAAUUAUUUUGCUUCUUAUAAUGUCGUUACAUCUGUAGCUUAGUAUAAUAGUAUAUUUCCUCUACAUAAUAACUUAUCUCACGUCGAAAAAAUCAAAUAUGAUAAUUAUUUUAGACAUUUAAUCACACUUCUUAUUUUCUAAACAUAAAGUACUUCUUUAGUAAAUAAAAUGAAUAUACGGAAUAUAAUGUUCAUGAAUGG